AUGUACAUUCCUACAACAUAGCUUUAAUGCAUCGAAUCCCAUUAGAACUCCACAGUUAAGCAUGCUCAGGCUAGAGUAGUAUUGGGAUGGGUGAUCGUUCGGGAAAUCCUAGUGUUUUACAUG
rfam:Picea glauca, whole genome shotgun sequence.